AGAGUUUGAUCAUGGCUCAGGAUGAACGCUGGCGGCAUGCCUAAAACAUGCAAGUCGAGCGGUAAGGCCCCUUCGGGGGUACACGAGCGGCGGACGGGUGAGUAACGCGUGGGAAUCUACCCCAAACUGAGGGAUAAGCAUUAGAAACGAUGUCUAAUACCGCAUAUGGUCUUCGGAUUAAAGCUUCGGCGGUUUGGGAAGAGCCCGCGUAAGAUUAGCUAGUUGGUGAGGUAAAGGGCUCACCAAGGCGACGAUCUUUAACUGGUUUGAGAGGAUGAUCAGUCACACUGGAACUGAGACACGGUCCAGACUCCUACGGGAGGCAGCAGUUAGGAAUUUUCCACAAUGGGCGAAAGCCUGAUGGAGCAAUGCCGCGUGCAGGAUGAAGGCCUUAGGGUUGUAAACUGCUUUUAUACGUGAAGAAUAUGACGGUAACGUAUGAAUAAGGAUCGGCUAACUCCGUG
rnacentral:rRNA from 1 species